AUUAAGGAAACUACUUAAACAUAAGCUGGAUUGUUUUUGAGUCCGCCAUCAAAACUAUUAAAAUGUGUUUAAUAACAUUUUAUUCUGAUCUUAUUCCCUUUUAGUUUUUUAAUUAUUAGUCAGUUUGUCUGUGUUUCAUUGGUAGAAUAAGUAUAAAUAAAUAAAUGACAUCCUUUUCAUUUUGCAAAAUACUAAACUUCUGUUAACAGGAAUAAAACAAACUGACAGUGCCAUAGUGAUGUAUCAAGAAUAAACAUUACAUCAAUCAAGGAAAAAACCCUAACUGUACUUUCCCAUCACUCCUAAUUCUUCUGCUCAGUUUCUUCAUAGUUUAUAUUGCACAAGAAGGCAGUGAUUUCUUGACAGAUGACAUUUUAGUAAAAAUGAUCUACAAAAAAAGAAAAAAGAAUUGCGUCCUUAAGGCAAUAAUUCCCAGACUCAAAUUAUCUUACAUCAUACAAAGACCAGCUCUCUGAAGAAGAUUCUAAUGAUGAGAAUUGUGGAAGAAAAGAGGAUGACUGACAGAAAGGUGAAUGAGUCCCAUUGCAAUUUCAAUAGACAUAUUGGAAUAUUUGAAUAUUCAGGUUACGGACAGAUAGUCAUGGGAAAAAAUGUAUGCAAUCAUUAAGAGUUGAUGCCAACCUAAUAGCAUAUAAUCAAUCAAUGCUAUAAUUCAAAACUGCUGUUAGAUAUUUUGUAUUGUUCUAUCUUAUUUUAUAAAUAAAAAUGCUACACUUAUAUUUAAUAUGUAUAUUGCAAAAUUGCUGUUUUAAAGUUGCUGUUCUGUUUAUACUGUUUUGACCUUCUACUAUUGCUGAAACAGAAAUAUGCUGGAAUGCUGUUUCUCUGAAUGUAGAUAUAGAAUUUGGAGUCUGGAUUCUUUCAGCAAGAAACUAAUUUGAUAAUAACUAAGAGCUGAGAAUGAGAUAGAGUUUCACAAAUGUGGGCUAAAUAUCAGGCAUUAGAACAUGCAGGAUUUUGUCUAAAAAUCAUGACAGCACAGUUAGAAAGUUGCCUAAAGAGAUGUUAAGAAAUCUAUGAUAUUUAUUUUGUCUUAAGACCAGAGAAUAAAACAAAAACAGAAGAGUAUAUAAGGCCUACCUAUAAUGGCAAAUUAUGUUUUAUGAAAGCAUUGCUGAUGGUGGUAAAAUGCGGUACAUACGCUGUUGAGGAAGUUAUCAAUAAUGGCUCUAACUUGUAAGAAUAUAGUAUUGCAAGAAUAACUCUUUUAAAGUUUUCUUUAGCUUUCAGCGUUAUUGUUUGUUGUACAUUGAUCUACAAUUAGCUUUUCAAUAUGUAGUACAAAUGAUAUAAUUGUUUAGCACCGAUGGAGCAAAAGUUUGGUUAUGAAAUAAACCUGUUCAAAUUUUUGAUGAAAAAAAUGAAAAAUUGAGCAAAUCAAUAAUAAAACAUAAGAAAUUUGCACACAGAGAAAAGCUUGUGUAUGCAUGUUUGUUGUUGUGUCUCAGAGUAGCCUGCUCCUUCCUUCCUUCAGCCUUCUAUCUGGGUGUGGUUAUUUCCACAAGGAGUUAGUUGUU